ACUCCUACGGGAGGCAGCAGUGGGGAAUAUUGCACAAUGGGCGCAAGCCUGAUGCAGCCAUGCCGCGUGUGUGAAGAAGGCCUUCGGGUUGUAAAGCACUUUUCAGUCGUGAGGAAGGUAGUGUAGUUAAUAGCUGCAUUAUUUGACGUUUAGCGAACAGAAGAACACCGGCUAACUCCGUGCCAGCAGCCGCGGUAAUACGGAGGGUGCGAGCGUUAAUCGGAAUUACUGGGCGUAAAAGCGCAUGCAGGUGGUUUUGUUAAGUCAGAUGUGAAAAGCCCCGGGGCUCAACCUCGAAUUGCAUUUUGAAACUGGCAGACUAGAGUACUGUAGAGGGGGGGUAG
rnacentral:rRNA from 1 species